rnacentral:rRNA from 1 species
AACGGGAGCAGACUACAGGAUUCCCCUAGUAACUGCGAGUGAAGCGGGAAAAGCUCAAAUUUAAAAUCUGGCAGUCUUUUGGCUGUCCGAGUUGUAAUCUAGAGAAGCGUUAUCCGCGCUGGACCGUGUACAAGUCUCCUGGAAUGGAGCAUCAUAGAGGGUGAGAAUCCCGUCUUUGACAUGGACUUACCAGGGCUUUGUGAUGCGCUCUCAAAGAGUCGAGUUGUUUGGGAAUGCAGCUCAAAAUGGGUGGUAAAUUCCAUCUAAAGCUAAAUAUUGGCGAGAGACCGAUAGCGAACAAGUACCGUGAGGGAAAGAUGAAAAGAACUUUGGAAAGAGAGUUAAACAGUACGUGAAAUUGCUGAAAGGGAAACGCUUGAAGUCAGUCGCGUCAUCCAGGGAUCAACCUUGCUUUUGCUUGGUGCACUUUCUGGUUUGAUGGGUCAGCAUCAAUUUUGACCAUUGGAAAAAGGUUAAGGGAAUGUGGCAUCUUUGGAUGUGUUUAUAGCCCUUGGUCACAUACAAUGGUUGGGAUUGAGGAACUCAGCACGCCGCAAGGCCGGGUUUUAAACCACGUCCGUGCUUAGGAUGCUGGCAAUAUGGCUUUAAUCGACCCGUCUUGAAACACGGACCAAGGAGUCUAACAUGCCUGCGAGUGUUUGGGUGGAAAACCCGAGCGCGUAAUGAAAGUGAAAAGUUGAGAUCCCUGUCGUGGGGAGCAUCGACGCCCGGACCAGACCUUUUGUGACGGUUCCGCGGUAGAGCAUGUAUGUUGGGACCCGAAAGAUGGUGAACUAUGCCUGAAUAGGGUGAAUCCAGAGGAAACUCUGGUGGAGGCUCGUAGCGAUUCUGACGUGCAAAUCGAUCGUCAAAUUUGGGUAUAGGGGCGAAAGACUAAUCGAACCAUCUAGUAGCUGGUUCCUGCCGAAGUUUCCCUCAGGAUAGCAGAAACUCAUAUCAGAUUUAUGUGGUAAAGCGAAUGAUUAGAGGCCUUGGGGGUUGAAACA